AUUCAUCUGACGAGUCCCAAAUAGGAUGAAAUGAGCGUCCCGUAU
rfam:Schistosoma rodhaini strain Burundi genome assembly, scaffold: SROB_scaffold0006008